rnacentral:rRNA from 1 species
CGGGUGAGUAAUGUAUAGUUAAUCUGCCCCAUAGUGGAGGACAACAGUUAGAAAUGACUGCUAAUACUCCAUACUCCUUCUUAUCAUAAGUUAAGUCGGGAAAGUUCUUCGCUAUGGGAUGAGACUAUAUCGUAUCAGCUAGUUGGUAAGGUAAUGGCUUACCAAGGCUAUGACGCGUAACUGGUCUGAGAGGAUGAUCAGUCACAUUGGAACUGAGACACGGUCCAAACUCCUACGGGAGGCAGCAGGG